UGCUGGCUAAAAUGUGCGUUAAGGAUUGAAGUGGAAAUCCUUUUUUAUUUUUUGGAAUAAAAAAGAUUGCAACGUAAAGCCUGACCUGAA
rnacentral:sRNA from 1 species